rnacentral:lncRNA from 1 species
UGGUUGCAUUAACAAGGUACUUUGGGAGAAAUUGGAGAGAGAAUUUUUAUCUUCAAAGACGUUGGACGGCACUUAGGAGACAGACUGGACAGCUCUGCUUUUACUCCUCUAACCCUAGUCACAAUUAUGUCAAAUGUUUCUCGAUGGGACCAUGUUUCUUUUCCUCUGCUCUCAGGCUUACCCUCAACUUGUCCAGAAGGGAUCUGAAGCUGCACUUCUGAGACUCAAACAAGCACGUGAUCUGUCUGCAAAGCAAGUACCUGGCCUUCCUCAGAACCAUCACCAUUUUCUAAUGCUGGCUUCUCCAACUCAAAGCCCAUGCAGAGCUCUCAUGAUUAUUCUGUUUACCUGCUGGGAUUCUCGCCUCCCACUAGAUUCCAGUCCCUCCUCGGUGGUGGUGCCUUCUCUUUCAUCAGCUUCUGCCUGAAUCAACUACACCACAGAUUCAUCGAGCUCCUUCUUUCCAGUCUCACGUGUCUUCACUCCGUGUUUCUAACAGGCUCCUCCCUUUUCGCAUUGAGGAAGGACGGAUCCUGUGAGAAGGCCCAAUGGCCGAAGCUGGUAUUGUUUGACCAUACAUCGAGGGCCAGCCAGUCUCACGCUGGACCAUAGGCGGAUGGAUAUUUCCAUGAGAGCCAGAUUUUCUGCCGUUCACAAGUGAGCCUAAUAUCCUCUGAAGCAGCACAGUGCUUUCCCUCUCCUCAUCCCGAGCCUUCCAGUCUACAGUCAGUGUGUAAACAUUUCCUGAACUAAAGACAGGAACAGAAUCAACUAUCAAGAUGCACAGAAACCAACUUUGGGAACCUAUGCUGGAGUUAGAGGCAUCAGUAAGAGAUAUCAAUUCUACCAGACCAUCAACAUCAAGGGAAUGAAUACCUCAAACUAACCACUUAGACUUAAGCUACACUGUAGAUGGCGAGAUAAUGUCAAGAUUCUGGAAAUAUCCAUGCUGAUCAAGGCGGGGGUGGGUGAUUAAAAUAUAAAAUGCUUACAUAAUAGAGAUUCUAUGCCUCUUUAAUCUAAUAAUGUAAAGCUGUCUGUGGGAGAGAAAAAUGCCAUGGGCUUUAACAGGCUACAGCCCCAAAGACUACAUAGAAAUAAAGCAGAUUACAAAGGAAGGAAGUUGACA